rnacentral:rRNA from 1 species
GACGAACGCUGGCGGCGUGCUUAACACAUGCAAGUCGAACGGAAAGGCCCUGCUUUUGUGGGGUGCUCGAGUGGCGAACGGGUGAGUAACACGUGAGUAACCUGCCCUUGACUUUGGGAUAACUUCAGGAAACUGGGGCUAAUACCGGAUAGGAGCUCCUGCUGCAUGGUGGGGGUUGGAAAGUUUCGGCGGUUGGGGAUGGACUCGCGGCUUAUCAGCUUGUUGGUGGGGUAGUGGCUUACCAAGGCUUUGACGGGUAGCCGGCCUGAGAGGGUGACCGGCCACAUUGGGACUGAGAUACGGCCCAGACUCCUACGGGAGGCAGCAGUGGGGAAUAUUGCACAAUGGGAGGAAGCCUGAUGCAGCAACGCCGCGUGCGGGAUGACGGCCUUCGGGUUGUAAACCGCUAUCGCCUGUGACGAAGCGUGAGUGACGGUAAUGGGUAAAGAAGCACCGGCUAACUACGUG